GAUGAAGAACGCAUCGAAAUGCGAUAAGUAAUGUGAAUUGCAGAAUUCAGUGAAUCAUCGAAUCUUUGAACGCACAUGGCGCCUUCCAGUAUCCUGGGAGGCAUGCCUGUCCGAGCGUCGUUUCAACCCUCGAGCCCCCGUGGCCCGGCGUUGGGGAUCUGCCCAGGCAGUCCCCGAAAACCAGUGGCGGACCCGUUACAGGCCCUUCCCUUGCGUAGUAGCAUUCGCCUCGCAUCGGGAGCCGGCGGGCUUCCAGCCUCUAAACCCCCAUCAAGUCCGCCCCGGCGGCACCAAGGUUGACCUCGGAUCAGGUAGGAAUACCCGCUGAACUUAAGCAUAUCAAUAAGCGGAGGA
rnacentral:misc_RNA from 1 species